rnacentral:rRNA from 1 species
UACGUAGGGUGCAAGCGUUGUCCGGAAUUAUUGGGCGUAAAGAGCUCGUAGGCGGUUUGUCGCGUCUGCUGUGAAAUCUCGGAGCUUAACUCCGAAACUGCAUUCGAUACUGCCGUGCUUGAGGACUGGAGAGGAGACUGGAAUUUACGGUGUAGCGGUGAAAUGCGUAGAUAUCGUAAGGAAGACCAGUGGCGAAGGCGGGUCUCUGGACAGUUCCUGACGCUGAGGCACGAAGGCCAGGGGAGCAAACGGG